rnacentral:rRNA from 1 species
UACGGAGGGUGCGAGCGUUGUCCGGAAUCAUUGGGCGUAAAGGGCGCGUAGGUGGCCCGGUCAGUUCGUGGUGAAAGCGCGGGGCUCAACCCUGCGUCGGCCAUGAAUACUGCCGCGGCUGGAGCACUGUAGAGGCAGGCGGAAUUCCGGGUGUAGCGGUGGAAUGCGUAGAGAUCCGGAAGAACACCGGUGGCGAAGGCGGCCUGCUGGGCAGUGC